CGUGUAGGCGGGUAAUUAAGUCAGGAGUGAAAUCCUAUGGCUCAACCAUAGAACUGCUCUUGAAACUGAUUACCUAGAAUAUGGGAGAGGUAGAUGGAAUUUCUGGUGUAGGGGUAAAAUCCGUAGAGAUCAGAAGGAAUACCGAUUGCGAAGGCGAUCCACUGGAACAUUAUUGACGCUGAGACGCGAAAGCGUGGGGAGCAAACA
rnacentral:rRNA from 1 species